AUAGUUUGACAUGCAAUCGAUCCUCAACGAGCGCAGGCUAGCUUACAGAGCGUUUUCCGCCGGUGUGUAUGUGUCAACAAGAUUCUUCAACACUAUCGGGCGCUUGUUAUCGUACAAUUGAACGUGUUUUUCAAGCCAUUUCUUUUCAUCCACUGUUUGUAGACAGUAAGGUUCCGAUUUUAUCGCGGUGGAAAUUGUACAACCAAAGUCUUUGUCAGGUACUCUGCUAUUCAUGCUAGAUUUCAUUCAACUUACAUCCGCUCAGUCCUAUAAAAAUCAACAAAACUGCUCACUUGACACAUUCUUUUCAAUCUUGAAGUAAGCUGCCCAAAGAUUAUCUAAUCUAAAACAAAGGAAAAUCCUACUUUUUCUUCAACAAGUCCAACAGUAGCCUCCACAACUAUCAACAAGUAGUCACCAAAUCGACCGGUCUGCUGUCAGUCGAACAGUGCUCGGCACACUCGUAAAUAAAUCUUUCCUUCCACCCAACCACAGACUACUUGGAUGCGCAUUGGGAAGCACCCCCAUAAACGCAACGUGUCAAGACGAUACGUCGUUCCAUUUUGUCACAAAAAAAACGGAGUCGUCUGGGUUAGAUAGCCAAAGAUAUCGAGCGCGAGUGCGCGUUUGUUUCAGUUCCGGUGAAGAAUUCUAUACCGCAGAAGAUUUCUUGUACAUCCCACUCCGGUGAAUGAGUUAUCGCAAAAUCGCAUCACCAUGAGAGUCAUGUGUGUCAGAUUAGAAUCGCAUAAAUUACCCCGUCACCUGAGAAGGUAGCGUAUAGUGGUGGGCUGUUUGAAGUUGGUCACCGGUUUAAGCCGUCCAAUUGGCAAACUUGCUCCCCGGUAUUAUAUCAGUGUGUGAUUCACGUUUGGAAAUGCAAAUGUGAUCAGAGUCGGAGGCGAGCUGAGAAAGAUAGUCAUCGAACCGGGAUAUGAAUUCGGCGAAUGGAGAAGAGAUUGGGAAUUCCUAGAAUUGUGCACAUAACAAGCGUUGCUGAUGAGGUGCUACAUUCCUAACUCAAUCUUUCCAAAAUCUUGGAUAGUGCGGCAGGGCAAACAAAAAAGCGAAGCAGAAAAGGUGAGAUUAUGAUUGUUAAGGUCAGAAGAUUGCGUUACAGUGAAGCUUAGAGAAGUAAACAAGCUAAGCAGGUUUAUUGCAAAAGUAGAGACCGUACAGGACAAUGUCUCACCGUGCAUUGUCCACGUGUUAAAAAAAGUCCUUCUCACCCGAACCUGCAUUCAACUGGAAUGACGGUGCAAAACAAACGACAGAAAAUCUGUCGCUAUCCAUCCAUCAUCCGGAAGGCUGAUUCCGGCUUGCGCUUCCAGGUAGCGGGUAGCAUUAGCAAUCUACGUCCAAUACCAGGGGACAUCUAUCGCUACUACCAGGUCGGCAGCAUUGUCACUGCAAGUGUUCGGUAUCGUUUAUUUCGGGGUUACACCUCGGAAGGCUACCGUGCCCGCUGCUCUGCCGGAGUGUGUCGGGUCGAAGCAAUUAUGCGCAUUCGUAAUGCGUCCUCCCCUUGCGUCGACGGCAGAACUCUCCACGGAAUGUCUUCAAAAAGGGAUAUAGAAUUUGGCGCAUCGUAUCCGGUGGUCACCCCGGUGGAGCACGCUGGACACGACCCGCUCCACCCAUGCAUGGGGAGCGGCAGGUUCGUAGUGGGAUUGUGUUUCCGAAUAAUUUUAAUUAAAAAUUCAAAUUUAUCACACCUCUCGUGUUGGAUGCCCACAGCGUGGCCUAGAAGGGUUUCCGCUUCUUGGAAGGAACACAGCAACACACAAAAGACGACGGCGGAAGAGCACUACACGAACGUGUGGGACACAUUUCGGCACCGACCGGCGGCGGAUAGUUCUUGAGUAGAAUUCCAAUUCCAGCAUCGGGACGUGGAACCACUUGCCCCACAAUAACCGGUUGAUUCCCCCUUCUUCAGGGCGGAUACGAUGGCCACCUGGGGGUAGAUAUCGCUCCGCCGACCCAGCAGUGCUUUACGGUGCAUAAAUCUUCCGGUGGAGAACUUGUUGAUGGCGACUUUGGCGAUUCCUGGGAAAGAAGCGCCAGGGUUUCUCUCUCUCUCUCACUCUCUGUCUUUCCAAAGACUACGCGAGUCGGGUUUAAAGUGACAAGAUGAAACGCUGCCACGUUCGGGGUGUGAAUGUCAUCCUCUUCUUUCAGAGAGUGUAAAAUACUUCCAUCUCCUCCUGAGGGAUCUAAUGCAAUGAGCACAAAAUUCAACAAAAAAAACUGCAGCGAAUGUCACAAUAAUGCAAACAAAUUCCUUACCAAAGAACGCGCUCUACCAGCAGCACCAGUCAAUUUGUGGUACACAUUUUCCGUACACGAGAAAAACGAGCCGUACCAGGAACAAACCUAAGCUCCGACCGUUUGCCUUCUCUCUAUCUUUCCUGUUUGGUCAGAAAACGGAGGGAAAGGGCAAAGCGGAUAAAGCGGAUCACUCGCACACAUCUACAUACUUUGUGUUCCACCACAUUGCCACGAGGCGGCGGCGGCGGCGGCGAUGGCGGCAACCUUCAAAGGCGAGUUCACGCUUAUCUUAAUUUUUUGAUGAACUUAUUCCUCGCCCUUUUCCCUGCACGCACAGCACACAGAACAAGAAACACAGACACACACACAUACACCGAGAAGCCGUCCUGGGUGCGGAGGGCACUCCAGUGGACUUUGAAAUCUCCUCACGCCUUCCCAUUGGCUUUGGAGGAUUUUUAGAAUUCAGUGUGAGGUGGGGUGGAAGAAUCGGGGGCUUUUUUUGGAGUUCUUUUGCCCGCCAACGGACCAGCCCAGCAUGAGCGUGAUGCAAUCAGCGGCGUGUGAGGAUGACAUCAGAAAGGAUACACACCGAAAUGAGACCUGUCAGAGAAGCUGGUGUAAAUGAAUACAACCGUAGCAAAAAGGGUGAGCCACCGAUGCAAAAACGAAAUGAGAUUUUCUUGUACAGCGACGAUCGUCCUCCACUCGAAGUACACCAUGAAGGUGUGUUUCUUUGGAGUGAACCUGUACAAAGCUAAACCAUACCAAAGUCGAACAACCGAAGAGCACCAACAGCAGCAUCGGCAACCGCUUGUGCCCGAGGCACUGACACCGGAACUGAUUAAAUGCGCACAAACUGGCCCGGGCAAGGUUGGUAGCCGACCGGCACAUCCAUUCUUCCGCUUCCAUAUCUACACCAUCACGCCGCAGAUAAACGAAUUCUUGCCGCGGAGCUGGCCACGGUGCAUAACAAAUUGGUAAUGGGAUUGCUUUCAUGAGGUUUUUUUUAUUACCAUUUUUGCCUUUUACGCCUCUCCACAAGAGAAGAGCAGCGCAGAAGCGCGAUUUUACAAUGAUUCAGUUUUUUUAAUGUUCUUCGCCCGCUCAGCACCGAGCUCAAGACAAUUUAACAUCCAUUUCCCGUGGCCCCGGCACGAUCAGUUCCGGUGUCAGGGCUGGGUUAUUUCGUAAAUGGAUUCCACCAGAACAUAUGGAGAAGCGAGCAAAAAAGGCAAUUAUUUCAGAAUCGAUAAUGCAUGGCUAAAGUGAACCGCUUAGAGAAGCAUCCCAUUUUUGUGGAGCAGUUUUAUUAUGAGGUACAGGCUUUUCAUUCGCUUCUAUUAAUCACCCCGUAAAGAUGUACAAUCCAAUGAUCGGAGAUAGCGAGACGGAUGAUGACACAGCGCGCCCAUGCCCGAGGGGAUACAGCAAGCGAACCGCCCAAAAAAACCUUCCAGACCCGGGGCGUUUGGGUAAGAGACAAUAAAUUAAUACCGACUACUAAACCAUGGUGGAUCAUCCACAACACCCACCCGGGUUCUCUGGGAGGCUACUGAACACACAUCCUGAUCUAAUCAGCAAACUACCACCCCGAAUGCCUGAUGCCACCCGUCUUCGCCACAGUUUCGUCCGGGGUCGUCGUCAUCGCGCGCCAAACAAAUUGACAAGAUUGAAUGAUAGAGAAUUAUUCACCGUCCGUGUCCUGUUGUUCCGUCUAAACGAGCACACGGUUGAUCGCAGCGAGCUGUUUGACGGUGUAAAAACGACUCACUCGUUGCCUCAUCUGUCUCGUGUGGGGGUUUAUUGAAUGCCACCGGUUACCGGUCGAAAUGAAGAUAGUCACAGCGCAGCUUCACGAAACUACGAUCGCGAUCGCGCCCCACGAUAACGGCCAUAAAAUAUCCCACUUUAGGGCAAGGGGCGCAAGCGUGAUAGCGUAGUUUGCCGUUACUGCUAUUGUUAAACGAAACGGGAAAUUGACACCUUCGGAGUUUCGGAUUACGCAGAAGCAUUAAAAAUGAUCGCGAAACAUCGUCCUGUCCCCGGUAUGGAAGCGAAAACGAAAACAAGCCGUAAUACGAUUGACCGAUUGACGGGAAAAGUUACAACACAUAAUGAAACGAUUUCAACGCCAAUUUACACAGCCAGUUCAACUCUCUCAGAGGAGUGUUUUGAGGUAAAUGACGAAAGUCCAUCGCAAAGAAGCCUUUCUAGUGUAUCCCCCAACCAGAUCACUUCAGCGCAACUGAUCAAGCGUCCGGAAGGGAAAUUACUUACCCUAAUAAUCCGCAAAAACAGAAGAUACAAAAGCAAAUUAAAAAAAGCCACGACGACAACGCUUACAUUUCAAUCUGAAUUAAGCUUUAUUGAAGCUGAUGCCUUGAGGUAUCAUUCCGCACCUGCAUAAAGGUGAUCGCAUAUCCAAAAUAAACAAAACAUGUUCUGCUUGAA